GACGAAGGGGGCAAGCGUUGUUCGGAAUUACUGGGCGUAAAGGGCGCGUAGGCGGCUCUUUAAGUCAGGCGUGAAAGCCCUGGGCUCAACCUGGGAGUGGCGCUUGAUACUGGAGGGCUAGAGAGUGGGAGAGGUUGGUGGAAUUCCCAGUGUAGAGGUGAAAUUCGUAGAUAUUGGGAAGAACACCGGCGGCGAAGGCGGCCAACUGGACCAUUUCUGACGCUGAGGCGCGAAAGCGUGGGGAGCAAACAGG
rnacentral:rRNA from 1 species